GUAAAAUCUUUAAACCCUAAUCUCCACACCGUUGUUGACUAAGGAUCAACGCUUUAUCUCCUCCGAUUAAAGCUUCUUCAUUAUAUGACCCACAUUCCAAUCCUCAAAAUUAUGUGACGAAGCUCGUUUCCUCCCUAUUCAUGAGAAACCCACUUUCAAGCUUCUUCUUCGAUUUGAUAAAAAGAUUGAGGCGAGGCUUUGCAACAACUGGAUAAUCAAGCAAUGAAGAUCACACUUUGCCAUCAAAGACAGAUGGAAAGGACGCUGGCAAUAGUUUAGCUGAUGGAAAUUAUUGUUAGUGAUGUGGACCAGAUGAAAAGAAGUGAUUUUCUAUCGAAUCAGAAGCAUAUCAAGAUGGUUUGAAGACUUGAUGAACUUACAAGUCCCAGACCAAAAUAGUAGUCGAAUUGAAAAGUCAAGAUGCAAGAUUUUAUGACCUAAAUUGGUUAUCAUUUUGCUGAUAUUUUUUUGGGAAAUUUUUAUAUUUUGUAUUAUCAAAUGUAAUACAUUGGGGUUAUACCAUGGUUCAUUGCUACCUAUUGGAUAUUAAACUAUAUUUUGUAAUUAUUAUGUAUAUAAA